rnacentral:misc_RNA from 1 species
GAUGAAGAACGUAGCGAAAUGCGAUAAGUAAUGUGAAUUGCAGAAUUCAGUGAAUCAUCGAAUCUUUGAACGCAUCUUGCGCUCCUUGGUAUUCUGAGGAGCAUGCCUGUUUAAGUGUCAUUAAAUUCUCAACUACACUGACUUUGAAUUGGUGUGGCUUGGAUUUGGGGGGAAAAUUGUUGUGGGCUUUUUGUAUAGUCUGCUCCCCUGAAAUUGAUUAGCGGUACCUUUGUGGAACUGUCUACAGGUGUGAUAAUUAUCUACAUCUUAGACAUCUGCUGGAAUGCUGCUUUCUAAACCUUACUUGUAUUGACAAUCUUGACCUCAAAUCAGGUAGGACUACCCGCUGAACUUAAGCAUAUCAAUAAGCGGAGGA